CAGUCGCCACGGUAACACGAGGGGGGCAAGCGUUGUUCGGAAUUAUUGGGCGUAAAGGGCGCGUAGGCGGUUUGACAAGUCUGAUGUGAAAUCUCUGGGCUCAACCCAGAGUCUGCAUCGGAAACUGUCGAGCUUGAGUAUGGGAGAGGUGAGUGGAAUUUCCGGUGUAGCGGUGAAAUGCGUAGAUAUCGGAAGGAACACCUGUGGCGAAAGCGGCUCACUGGACCAUUACUGACGCUGAGGCGCGAAAGCUAGGGGAGCAAACAGGAUUAGAUACCCGCGUAGUCCCUGUCUCUUAUAC
rnacentral:rRNA from 1 species